UCGAAAAAACUUUGGAAUGCUUUAUGAAUGGUUUUUCAAAAUCUACAUACUUACGCAAUAGCAGGGUUCUUAUUCUGCCUGCGAAAGCGGUGGGUGUAGCAACUUUGAAUUUUCAACUGAAACACUUUAUUUUUAAUUAAAUAGUUGAAAUUUAGAAUUAAAAAUACACAACUUUUGUUUGAAUCGAUAAUAGCUUCUUUAAUCCAGUCGGAAGAGCUUCAAAAUCGUCGUUUUGAUGACAUUUUUAGGGUUUAGGGGUACCUCAGGUAGUUAGCUUAAAACGUAAGAAAUAAAUUUGAAUAGUUAAUGUUUAUUGAUAAACAAAGCUCCAAUUCUAUUUUACUUUAACUCAUUUUAAGGCUAUUUCAAUAAACUAAUCGGUUCUUUUUUCAGUUUUUUGGUAAAACAUUGUAACUUAUAGAUGAAAAUUCUUAAAAUCGGCUAUUUUUCAUUUAGAUUGUCAA
rnacentral:lncRNA from 1 species